rnacentral:rRNA from 1 species
UACCAGCACCCCGAGUGGUCGGGACGUUUAUUGGGCCUAAAGCAUCCGUAGCCGGUUCUACAAGUCUUCCGUUAAAUCCACCUGCUUAACAGAUGGGCUGCGGAAGAUACUAUAGAGCUAGGAGGCGGGAGAGGCAAGCGGUACUCGAUGGGUAGGGGUAAAAUCCGUUGAUCCAUUGAAGAACACCAGUGGCGAAGGCGGCAUCCUGGACUGGUCCUGACACUCAGGAGCGAAAGCGUGGGGAGCGAUCCGG